CGUAUCACUUAAAGCGAUUCAGCGGGUUACGAUUGACGGAGCGAAGCGACGUCAAAGCGUAUACAAAGUCGAGUCGGUUUAAGGAUACGUUCGUUGGGUAGGGGAGCGUUCUGUAAGCCUGCGAAGGUGUCCCGUGAGGGUUGCUGGAGGUAUCAGAAGUGCGAAUGCUGACAUAAGUAACGAUAAAGCGGGUGAAAAGCCCGCUCGCCGGAAGACCAAGGGUUCCUGUCCAACGUUAAUCGGGGCAGGGUGAGUCGACCCCUAAGGCGAGGCCGAAAGGCGUAGUCGAUGGGAAACGGGUUAAUAUUCCCGUACUUGGUGUUACUGCGAAGGGGGGACGGAGAAGGCUAUGUUGGCCGGGCGACGGUUGUCCCGGUUUAAGCGUGUAGGUGUGUGUUCCAGGUAAAUCCGGUUCACUUUAACACUGAGGCGUGACGACGAGGCACUACGGUGCUGAAGCAACAAAUGCCCUGCUUCCAGGAAAAGCCUCUAAGCAUCAGGUAACAUCAAAUCGUACCCCAAACCGACACAGGUGGUCAGGUAGAGAAUACCAAGGCGCUUGAGAGAACUCGGGUGAAGGAACUAGGCAAAAUGGUGCCGUAACUUCGGGAGAAGGCACGCUGACACGUAGGUGAAGUGAUUUACUCAUGGAGCUGAAGUCAGUCGAAGAUACCAGCUGGCUGCAACUGUUUAUUAAAAACACAGCACUGUGCAAACACGAAAGUGGACGUAUACGGUGUGACGCCUGCCCGGUGCCGGAAGGUUAAUUGAUGGGGUCAGCGCAAGCGAAGCUCCUGAUCGAAGCCCCGGUAAACGGCGGCCGUAACUAUAACGGUCCUAAGGUAGCGAAAUUCCUUGUCGGGUAAGUUCCGACCUGCACGAAUGGCGUAAUGAUGGCCAGGCUGUCUCCACCCGAGACUCAGUGAAAUUGAACUCGCUGUGAAGAUGCAGUGUACCCGCGGCAAGACGGAAAGACCCCGUGAACCUUUACUAUAGCUUGACACUGAACAUUGAGCCUUGAUGUGUAGGAUAGGUGGGAGGCUUUGAAGUGUGGACGCCAGUCUGCAUGGAGCCGACCUUGAAAUACCACCCUUUAAUGUUU
rnacentral:rRNA from 1 species